AUUGAACGCUGGCGGCAGGCCUAACACAUGCCAGUCGAGCGGAUGAAGGGAGCUUGCUCCUGGAUUCAGCGGCGGACGGGUGAGUAAUGCCUAUGAAUCUGCCUGGUAGUGGUGGAUAACGUCCUGAAACGGGCGCUAAUACCGCCUACGUCCUGAUGGAGCAAGUGGGGGAUCUUCGGACCUCACGCUAUCAGAUGAGCCUAGGUCGGAUUAGCUAGUUGGUGGGGUAAAGGCCUACCAAGGCGACGAUCCGUAACUGGUCUGAGAGGAUGAUCAGUCACACUGGAACUGAGACACGGUCCAGACGCCUACGGGAGGCAGCAGUGGGGAAUAUUGGACAAUGGGCGAAAGCCUGAUCCAGCCAUGCCGCGUGUGUGAAGAAGGUCUUCGGAUUGUAAAGCACUUUAAGUUGGGAGGAAGGGCAGUAAGUUAAUACCUUGCUGUUUUGACGUUACCAACAGAAUAAGCACCGGCUAACUUCGUG
rnacentral:rRNA from 1 species